rnacentral:rRNA from 1 species
CCUACGGGAGGCAGCAGUGAGGAAUAUUGGACAAUGGACGAAAGUCUGAUCCAGCCAUGCCGCGUGCAGGAUGACUGCCCUAUGGGUUGUAAACUGCUUUUAUAUAGGAAGAAACACCCCCACGUGUGGGGGCUUGACGGUACUAUAUGAAUAAGGAUCGGCUAACUCCGUGCCAGCAGCCGCGGUAAUACGGAGGAUCCAAGCGUUAUCCGGAAUCAUUGGGUUUAAAGGGUCCGCAGGCUGUUUUUUAAGUCAGAGGUGAAAUCCUGCAGCUCAACUGUAGAACUGCCUUUGAUACUGGAAAACUUGAGUUAUUGUGAAGUGGUUAGAAUGUGUGGUGUAGCGGUGAAAUGCAUAGAUAUCACACAGAAUACCGAUUGCGAAGGCAGAUCACUAACAAUAUACUGACGCUCAUGGACGAAAGCGUGGGGAGCGAACAGGAUUAGAUACCCUGGUAGUCCACGCCGUAAACGAUGGAUACUAGCUGUUCGUCUAACAUUGGUUAGAUGAGUGGCUAAGCGAAAGUGAUAAGUAUCCCACCUGGGGAGUACGGUCGCAAGACUGAAACUCAAAGGAAUUGACGGA